rnacentral:lncRNA from 1 species
UUUAACGCUGGAAAUUUUUGCUCUAGAAUCAAAACUGACAAGAUUUCUUGAGAGAAAGGUGGAAAAGUGAUUGGAUUUUCUCUGAUUUUGGUCAGCUUGCUGCUUAAAAGAAACAAACAGAAAGCAAACAAAGUUAAAAAUCCAGUUUCUUUCUAAAGCUUACUUCACUGACCGCUCCAAUUAAUUCUCCUCUUUCCUUUUUGCAUGGGGAGCUACUGAGGUACGGCAGAGGGGCUGGACACACUGAAAGCCGUCAACAGGCCCCCCAGGAAUCCCAUCACGUCUUUCAACUUUAGUAUGCCCACUGGGUCCAGGGCUGCUUGGAAAAGAAACAGUGGACAAUGGACAAACGUAUUUCUACCUGCCUCAUUGGACAAGCGCGUUUAUGACCCAGCAGUCACCCAGCAGUGAUCAGCACAUCAUGCUCAAAAGAGUCAAGAAAUUAUGAUAUAAUCUCUGCCUGGAGCUAACCCAGUGAUUUUAGGUUAGAUGCUCGCCAUGAACUCUGUUCCAAUUCCUCAGAAUGGGGUUAGGCUUUGGGUGGCUAUUCAGAGGCCCUGGGUGGCCCAUCGAUGCUGCCAAAUACGCAGGGCAGCAUCCACGAUGAUGGGGCCCUUAAAGAUCACAUGGGGGUCGAAUCUUGCAGCCCUCUAGUUUAACAGAUGGGAGGACUGGGGUGUGGGUCACGCUCCCAAGCUGAGGCACAUUCCAGACUCAGAGCCAGGUCUUUGGUUCUCAGAAUCAGGGAAAACCAGAAGCGGAGAGAUUUAUCCCAUUAAAAAAAAAAAGCUACUUCUUUUGCAAAUUCGCCUUCCUCACCUUGGGAAGGCAGGCCCUACUGGAGCCUUUAUUGUAGUAGAGGCUAAACUGUGUACAAAGGCCAGAGUUUCCCGCAGUACAGGGAAGAGUGGAGCUAUGUGGUUCCCCACAAUGCAGGUCCUAGACUCUAGUGUAGACACUAUAUUGCGCCCUUGUUAGCGCCAAGGACCCUCCCCAGUAGAGUGUCAGAAAGGAGUGUCCUUUGGUGCUUCGCCUCAUUGAGGGCCCUUUGUCCCAAUCCUGGGCCGCAGCUGCCUCUCCCCACGUCCUCCCAUUUACAAAGCGAACCGGGUGUAAACGCAGUGCACCCGUGCACCCGCAGGUUGCGCCUCUCCUGCCCACCGGGUCCCUUCCACGUGGCUCUCAGUUCGGUCCUCUCUCCAGUCCUGUCCUCAGGUCUCGGGGAAACUUAGUUCGUGUGGCCAGCUGAGGUAUCUAUGAAUUUUCCACCUUAUGCUCGGCUCACAUGGCGGACACGAACCGAUCCACCGCGCCGGGAUAGGCGGCCGCAUGGCGAGCAUGGUAGGCGCCUCCGCUACCGCCUCCGAGCUGCCCACCAGGAUUGUAGCAGGGCCCCAGUGCUCCAAACUGGCCGGGCGAUGUGCGCCCAUAGAAGUCCACUGCGGUCUCGACGCCGCCACUGCUGCCACCCGCGGGGGGCGAGGCAGGCCCCCCCAACCGGCCAGCUGCCGCGAAGAGCGCGCUGCCGGCCCCUUGCGGGUACGCGCCGUCGGGGCUCGCGUAGGCGGCCGCAUAGGCAGAGGCGUUGGCGGGUCGGGCCCCCGCGCAGCCGGCGGGCUGGUAGCCGGUGGUAGAGGCGGGGGCGCCAGCCGAGGCAAAGGCGCAGGAACCCGCGGGCCCCGACGGCGCGGGGCCCAGCUCCGGGCUGAGCGGUCGCUCAGGCACCAGGCCGAAGACGCGGCACGGGCCUGGCGACGCAGCGGGGUAGUAGACCGGGGGCGGCGCGGCGAGCGACGGCGGGGCGUAGCCUGCAUAGACGGCGCCGGGGUAAGGCGGGCGCGCAGCGGGCAUCGCGCCCGGGAAGAUGGCGGCGGCGGCGGCGGCGGCGGCUGCAGCGGCGGCGGCCGCCGCGUCGUGCAUGUAGGCCGGACCACCGACUAUUGCCUGUAUCUGGUUCGUGGAACUGCCUCUGAUUUUGGGGGCAUUUGCUGGCCAGAGAUGAUUGACAUCGGCUUUACCUGAUGAAUGACUAAGACCAAGCUCAGGUACACACCUAAGAGAGGACUGUCUGGGUCAGAUGUCUCUAAGCGUCAGGAAUCCGAGUGGAGCUUAGCUGGUGUGGCUGGCAGCAUUGGCCCAUCCGAGCUUGAGGCCGCUUUGGAGUAGUGCCGGAUACGGGAAAACUGGAGAGAAGAAGGAAUAAGAGAGCAGAGGGCUGGAAAAGGGGACAGAAGGAAAGACGAGUUAAGGGACUGGAAAGAAUCAGUGUUUGGAAGAAGGCGGUUGUUGCUAAACCACUUUUCAGGCUGUACUUCUGCUGGAUGGAGGAGCUUCAAUCGUCUUGAUCAAUGAGCCUGUAUCAGGCUUUGAACAGGAGCUAUAGAUAUGUUAGUUCAUUUACUCAAUCCUGCAACAGUCCCACCUCCCAGAUUUAGAAACUGAGAUCUGAAAAGUUAAGUAAGACUUGGCCAAGACCAUAUACCUGAGAUGGCUUUCCUCCCCCAGAGCCUGUGACCUUUCACGAUGGUACCCGAGUAUAUUCCUGUGUUACUCUGCUUCCGACUCUGCCUCACAGCAUCCUUUGCCUCCUGGGUCCGUGAGACGUCUUCUAGGAAGUUCUAGUGGACAGUAAGAAAGACAAAUCCUCUGGUCUCCCUGGUCUCCCUGGUCUCUAGUUAUGGCAGCCUGCGUUCUCUUUGAAGACUGAGCUGUGUUACGGAACUCCCUCCUCCCCCGACUCUAACAGGCUUAGUGGCCUCUGUGAGGUCUGCCUCAAUCAGUGAAAGGACAGUAGGUCUCUGCUUCUGGCUGCCUCCGUGAAUGAUUUCUGCCCCGUAGUGGAAGAGUCACUGGUGGCUCGGCCUGAGAUGUCCUCUACCUGGUCAGCAUCCUCUGAUGUAACACCCCUAGACACAGUGAAUCUUGGAUAUGAAGCUGCUUCGAGUUUGAGCUUCACGUAGUGAGUGGUUUGGGCAGGUCCACUGUCCCUCCAGCCUCAGUUCCUUCAGCUGUUGAACUGAGGAGGAAGAGGUGGCUGAAUUAGUGGUUCUUUCUCCAUGGAAGUGAAGACUGACAAGUAUGCUCCAGUCCGUAGGAGCUCUAGGCAUUGUCUAUGGAUUAAAUAGUUUGUCCGUCUUGCGUAUAUACACAUGACUACAUUUCAAAUGUGUGUAAAGCUGUGUGAGAAAUAAAAUGCAAAUUCAUUUAAAGAU